rnacentral:tRNA from 2 species
AGAAUAUUAUUUGAAUUAUAAAGAAGCUUCUAACUUCCUAAAAAGCGGUUAAAUUCCGUUUAUAUUCUA